rnacentral:rRNA from 1 species
AUUGAACGCUGGCGGCAGGCCUAACACAUGCAAGUCGAGCGGAUGAAGGGAGCUUGCUCCUGGAUUCAGCGGCGGACGGGCGAGUAAUGCCUAGGAAUCUGCCUGGCAGUGGGGGAUAACGUCCGGAAACGGGCGCUAAUACCGCAUACGUCCUGAGGGAGAAAGUGGGGGAUCUUCGGACCUCACGCUAUCAGAUGAGCCUAGGUCGGAUUAGCUAGUUGGUGGGGUAAAGGCCUACCAAGGCGACGAUCCGUAGCUGGUCUGAGAGGAUGAUCAGUCACACUGGAACUGAGACACGGUCCAGACUCCUACGGGAGGCAGCAGUAGGGAAUAUUCGGCAAUGGGCGAAAGCCUGAUGCAGCCAUGCCGCGUGAGUGAUGAAGGUCUUCGGAUUGUAAAGCACUUUAAUUAGGGAAGAAGAACAGUGAGUGAAAACCUUGCUGUUUUGACGUUACCAACAGAAAAAGCACCGGCUAACUUCGUG